rnacentral:rRNA from 1 species
UGGGGAAUCUUGCACAAUGGGGGCAACCCUGAUGCAGCGACGCCGCGUGAGCGAUGAAGCCCUUCGGGGCGUAAAGCUCUUUCGACCGGAACGAUAAUGACGGUACCGGGAGAAGAAGCUGCGGCUAACUACGUGCCAGCAGCCGCGGUAAUACGUAGGCAGCAAGCGUUGUUCGGAGUUACUGGGCGUAAAGAGUGCGUAGGCGGUUUUCUAAGUUCGGUGUGAAAUCUCCCGGCUUAACUGGGAGGGUGCGCCGAAGACUGGGAAGCUGGAGUGUGGGAAGGGCAGGCGGAAUUCCUGGUGUAGCGGUGAAAUGCGUAGAUAUCAGGAGGAACACCGGCGGUGUAGACGGCUUGCUAGACCAUAACUGACGCUGAGGCACGAAAGCGUGGGUAGCAAACA